rnacentral:rRNA from 1 species
GAUGAACGCUGGCGGCGUGCCUAAUACAUGCAAGUCGAGCGAACAGAUGAGGAGCUUGCUCCUCUGACGUUAGCGGCGGACGGGUGAGUAACACGUGGAUAACCUACCUAUAAGACUGGGAUAACUUCGGGAAACCGGAGCUAAUACCGGAUAAUAUAUUGAACCGCAUGGUUCAAUAGUGAAAGACGGUUUUGCUGUCACUUAUAGAUGGAUCCGCGCCGCAUUAGCUAGUUGGUAAGGUAACGGCUUACCAAGGCAACGAUGCGUAGCCGACCUGAGAGGGUGAUCGGCCACACUGGAACUGAGACACGGUCCAGACUCCUACGGGAGGCAGCAGUAGGGAAUCUUCCGGAGUGGGCGAAAGCCUGACGGAGCAACGCCGCGUGAGUGAUGAAGGUCUUCGGAUCGUAAAACUCUGUUAUUAGGGAAGAACAAAUGUGUAAGUAACUAUGCACGUCUUGACGGUACCUAAUCAGAAAGCCACGGCUAACUACGU